AGCAGCCGCGGUAAUUCCAGCUCCAAUAGCGUAUAUUAAAGUUGUUGCAGUUAAAAAGCUCGUAGUUGAAUUUCGGGAUUGACACAUCGGUCGUGCCUUAAGGGGUAUGAACUGGUGUAGUCAAUUUCUCACCUUCUGGAGAACCGCGAUGUCCUUAAUUGGGUGCCGCGAGGAACCAGGACCUUUACUUUGAAAAAUUAGAGUGUUUAAAGCAGGCAUUUUUGCUUGAAUACAUUAGCAUGGAAUAGUAAAAUAGGACGGCAUGAUUCUAUUUUGUUGGUUUCUAGGAUCACCGUAAUGAUUAAUAGGGAUAGUUGGGGGCAUUAGUAUUCAAUUGUCAGAGGUGAAAUUCUUGGAUUUUAUUGAAGACUAACUACUGCGAAAGCAUUUGCCAAGGAUGUUUUCUAUUAAUCAAGAACGAAAGUUAGGGGAUCGAAGACGAUCAGAUACCGUCGUAGUCUUAACCAUAAACUAAUGCCGACUAGGGAUCGGAUG
rnacentral:rRNA from 1 species